GUCCCUGUGGAUCAAUGCAGAUCACUCCAUUCAAUUAAGGGGCAUGCAAAGUACUGGAGAGACGGGCGUUCGAUUCGCCCCGGGGACA